UGGGCGUAAGCGCGCGCAGGCGGUUUCUUAAGUCUGAUGUGAAAGCCCACGGCUCAACCGUGGAGGGUCAUUGGAAACUGGGGAACUUGAGUGCAGAAGAGAAAAGCGGAAUUCCACGUGUAGCGGUGAAAUGCGUAGAGAUGUGGAGGAACACCAGUGGCGAAGGCGGCUUUUUGGUCUGUAACUGACGCUGAGGCGCGAAAGCGUGGGGAGCAAACAGGAUUAAAUACCCUGGUAGUCCACGCCGUAAACGAUGAGUGCUAAGUGUUAGAGGGUUUCCUCCCUUUAGUGCUGCACCUAACGCAUUAACCACUCCGCCUGGGGAGUACGGUC
rnacentral:rRNA from 2 species